UGAGCCGCGAGCGCACGGUUUGCGUCACUUGCGUGUUGCAAGCCUCUCGGUCGUGAAGAGAUUUGUAUUUCGGCCGGUUAAAUUUCGCGUAUGUAGAAGUAUAGUACUUAUUAUAGUUUAAAUCCCGCGGCCCUUAUCGCCUGACCGAAACUGAAACACGCCAGCUCUGAUAUAAUAAACAGCGCGUCGAACGCGCAACGUUUGCAAAUCCUCGGGUGAAAAAGAGCGGCGUCGACGAGCAAGGACGGAAGGCAUGUCCGGCAUGUUCGGCAGUGAAUCGACUACAGCUCGUCGGUGUGAUUGCACGGUAUCAUCGCGGAAACUAGCCGCGAGUUAAACGGGUUAAACGUGUAUCACCGACGUUAAACGUCAUCAUUGAACGUCGACGACGCGACGGCAAUAACAGCGGUGCAUAAGAGAGUGAGGAUGAUGGGAGUGGAACGGAUACGAAGAUAAGGAUGACGAUCGACGGGGGAUAUUAUCCGAGAUUUAAUUUUAACGGCCAGAGUGAAACUUCGCUGAUCGCCGAUUAGGGACGAUCAGAAUCGCAUGCAGCAGCUGCAGCUUUCGAAUAAUUAGGAAAGAACAAACAUGGCGGAAACAUCGGACGAGCCUUAUCCACUUCACAAAUCUAUUUUUCACGGGGACCUCAAGGAGCUGAGUUACCUUAUAAGGACUCACGACAUCGCUGAAAAGGACAAGCAAGGAAAUACUCCGCUGCAUUUGGCUGUUAUGUUAGGAAGAAAAGAAUGUGUUCAAUUACUGCUUGCACAUGGAGCACCGGUUAAAGUGAAGAAUCUUGCUGGAUGGAGUCCUCUUGCCGAAGCUAUUAGUUAUGGAGAUAGACAAACUAUAUCGUUGCUCGUUAGGAAAUUGAAACAACAAGUGAGAGAACAAAUGGAAGAGAGAAGACCAAAUCUAGUUGAAGCGCUUAGGCAAAUGGGAGACUUUUACAUGGAACUUAAAUGGGACUUUCAAAGUUGGGUUCCCCUAGUGUCCAGAAUACUUCCGUCUGACAUUUGUAAGAUACAUAAAUCAGGGGCCUCGAUUCGUAUGGACACAACGUUUGUUGAUUUCAACGACAUGAGAUGGGAGAGAGGCGAUAUAUCGUUCAUAUUUAACGGCGAUCAAAAGCCGAGUAAAUCUCUCACUGUCCUGGACAACAAGGCAAAACUCUAUCAGCGAGUGAGAUACGAGGAAACUGAGGACGAAAUAGAGGACGAAGUGGAUAUUUUAAUGUCAAGUGAUAUUAUGGCAGUCCAAAUGUCGACUAAAGGAAUUUCGUUUUCUCGUGCUCAAACUGGAUGGAUCUUUCGAGAAGAUAAAAGAGAAAUGGUAGGUCCAUUUCACGCUGAUUUUUAUCAAAUCAACGGCAUGGUGCUGGAGAGCAGGAAGAGGCGGGAACAUUUAAGCGAGGAAGAUCUUCAGAAAAAUAAAGCAAUUAUGGAAUCGCUUACCAAAGGCAGUUUUCAGGGCUUUCCAAAUGGUGAGCCGCCAGCCAGAAGACCGUCGCUGAAUCCGCCUUCGGAGCCUCAUGUUAGUUGGGAAGAGUAUUCGACGGCGUCACCCGGUGAAUGUCCGACGCUGGGUCGAACACUUGCCUACAAAGAAAGUACUAAAGCGUUCAAAGCGACAGUUGCAAUGAGUCCGGAUUUUCCGUUGACUGUCGACAUGCUGCUCAACGUGCUAGAAGUUAUUGCCACUUUCAAGCAUUUUAGUAAACUCAGACAAUUUGUGCUGAUGAAGUUACCGCCAGGAUUUCCUGUCAAGAUCGAUAUUCCCAUACUGCCUACAGUGACUGCAAAAAUAACAUUUCAAGAAUUUGUAUUCAGAAACGACAUUCAACCUGAAUUAUUUCAAGUUCCGUCGGAUUACUUCGAAGACCCCAUGAGGUUUCCAGACUUAUGACGCCUUGACAUCUCAGCUGUAUUCGACAUGAAUUACUGGACGAGCUUGGAGUUGGACUCCGAACUAGUCGAUCCCCUAGGUCAAAAUUGAGCCCGGAAAAGUGGACACCGAUGAGG
rnacentral:misc_RNA from 1 species